AUCUAAACCUGACAGGAAUGGCAGCCUCCGAUUCUUCAUCGGAGCUAUAAUGUAUGGCAGGACAGGAC
rnacentral:misc_RNA from 1 species